rnacentral:tRNA from 1 species
GGGUCGUUAGCUCAGUUGGUAGAGCAGUUGACUUUUAAUCAAUUGGUCGCAACUCAAAGAUUCGAACCU